GCGGGCGUGGCGAAAUGGUAGACGCAACGGACUUAAAAUCCGUAAUCGGGAAACCGAUGUGCCGGUUCAAGUCCGGCCGCCCGCACCA
rnacentral:tRNA from 1 species